UUGAGGGCAUCGAUUUUGGAGGUUAAUCCGGUGAGAGGGACCAAGGGGUGUGUUGGAAGGUUAGGUGAUGGAAAGCGUUGUUGUGGCAUCGAGGCUGCCGUGGCAACGAUGAUGGGGCGAGUGAAGUCAGAGGCGUUGUGGUGGUUGCGGUAGUCGGCUCUUUCUCCGACGUGUCCGUGAGAUUACCUCGGUUUUGUUUGUUGCAGUGAAGUCGGAGAUGCGGCGGCGGGGCCCCUGUGGCAAUGAUGACAGGCAGCAGCUGGUCCGUUCGGUGGUCUUCCACGGCGCCAGCCUGGCAUAGUUCUUCUUUGAAUCUUUCCUUCAGAGUCGGAGCUGCCUGCCAUAGAGUUUUGGAGGCAGGCGGGAG
rnacentral:lncRNA from 1 species